GUGCCUGUGGCUCAGUGAGUAGAGCACCAGUCUCAUGAACUGAGGGUGGUGGGUUUGAACCCAGCCCUGGCCA
rnacentral:tRNA from 1 species